ACAUUUCUGUUGUAUAAAAACACAAAUGCACAAGGGUAACUAUGGGAAAUUUGAAGGUGCACUGAGUAAUAUUGUCCUUAUUUUAAGGAGACUUAAUAUGAUGCACACUACAAUUCAACACUGAAUGUAUCUACAGUUUCCACAAAAAUAUUAAGCAUAAUAAGACAUUUUUGCUGAGCAGCAAAUCAGCUUUUUAGAAUGAUUUCUGAAGGAUCAUGUGACACUGAAGACUGGAGUUAUUGGACUUUGUGUGUGCGUGUGAUGCUGCAUGUACACUGGUACGUGUAUAAAGUCCAAGACCACUGUUAUAUUUGCCAGAAUUGAACAAAUACUUGGUGCACCUUCAAAGUUAAAAGGUCUGGGAUACUGCAUCAAGGUGUCUGUUGUCAGCCACGCUGGUCCGGAUGACAUGAUCCCGCUUCUCUCUGAUCAUCCGUAUGCACCGCACCAGUGUAAAUAAGAUAUAAUCCAGAGAGCUUGAAUAUUUUCCAGUACCUGGUUGGCCUUUUUGAAGAACUUCCACAUGCAAUGCAGCUUUAACAGUGUCUCCUGAUUCCAGGAGUUUGCGUAAGGUUCAAUGGCAGAGGAAGGAGAAGCACCUGACAGGAUGGUGUACUUUACUGGUGUUCUGAGACACUCAUCACCAUCCACAGCUUGAAUCGGACCCGGAAAGAAAUCCAAGACAAUGUCCUGAGUGACAAAUACACAGACGAUAAGAAGGAAUCAGAUACAUGCACGUUCAAUGGGGUUUACCUGCUCGUUCUCUGUGAUGUUGGCGGUGUACAGAGGAUUGGCACAUAUGCGGUUGCUGUGAUUGGCUGAGAGAAGAGUGCAAGGCUGGAAUUGUGGGUACUGGUCGUCCCCAUCUAUCACAUUGAUGAUUAUUGUUGCCGUUGUGUUGUAGUGUUCAUUUGUGUUCAUCUCCUAAAGCCACAUCAACAUCUGAGUAAAUAACAGUUCAGUUUUUUUUCACACCUUUUUAUCAUCUGCAGACAAGUGUUUCUGUUUGUUUUACCACUGCAUAAAGAGUCAGUUGGAGCUGAGUUUUGAUCUCGUAGUCCAGUGACUUGUUGAGAACCACUUUGCCACUGUUGGCAUCUGUGGCCUGGACUGUAAACACUACAGAGUUCACCGCUGUCAACUGAACAAACACAUUAAACAACCAGCAGAAGAUGGGAGAAAAUCUCAGGAAUGGAGUAAAAUAUGGGGGGGAAACUUUUUAAAUGUAUGCUUAUAUAUGCAAUGUGCUGCUCAAAAGUUUGGGAAUCAGUAAGACUUGAAAGUUUGUUUUUGAAAGUCUCUUAUGCUCACAAGGGCCUCAUUUUUACAUUUCAGUAAAACAGUAAUAUAACGGUGAUAUUGUGGAAUAUUAUUACAAUUUCAAAUAACUGUUUUCUAUUUUAAAAUGUAAUUUAUUCCUGUGAUGCAAAGCUGAGUUUUCAGCAUCAUUACUCCAGUCUUCAGGGUCACAUGAUCCUUCAGAAAUCAUUCUAAUAUGCUGAUGCAGUCGUGCUGCUUCAUAUUCAAAAUAAUAGCAAUAUACUAUAAUAUAUAUUUGUUAUUUGAAAUAGGAAUCUUCUUUACAGUCAUGGCCAAAAAUAUCGGCACCCUUGGUAAAUAUGAUCAAAGAAGGCUGUGAAAAUUUAGAGCUGUUAAACUGGCAAAUGGAGGUUUCAAAAAGUAUUGAAUAAAAGUUAUAAUUGCCAAUAAUUGUGCCCAACGUGUAUUUGAGAAAAACAUUUGUUUUAUAAUGAUAUUUCCCCCAAUUUUAAAUUCUUAUUAUCCAAUGAAAGGUUAGACUGUUGUGAAUUUUUUUAAUAAAAGAUCAAAAGGAUUAACUGUAUAUGAUGUCUUUGUAUCAUGUCUUCACUGUUACUUUUGAUCAAUUUGAUGCAUUGAUGAUC